rnacentral:rRNA from 1 species
AGUUAAAAAGCUCGUAGUUGGAUUUCUGCGGGGGCGGGGCGGCCGGUUGCUUAUAGCAACUCGAGCUAGCACUUCCCCUGCAUCCUGCCGCGAACCGUGCUACCAUUAGUUUGGUGGCGCCGGGGAUCGGCUCGUUUACUUUGAGAAAAAUAGAGUGUUCAAAGCAGGCCACACGCCUUGAAUAAGUUAGCAUGGAAUAAUGAUAAAGGACUUCGGUUCUAUUUUGUUGGUGUUCGGGACUGAAGUAAUGAUUGAUAGGGACAGUUGGGGCGGUCCGUAUUCCAAAGCGAGAGGUGAAAUUCUUAGACCUUCGGAAGACGAACAGCUGCGAAAGCGUUCCGCAAGGAUGUUCCCUUUGAUCAAGAACGAAAGUUGGGGGAUCGAAGACGAUCAGAUACCGUCGUAGUCUCAACUAUAAACUAUACCAGCUAGGGAUCGGCCAACGUUUAAUUACACCGACUUGGUCGGCACCUUAUGAGAAAUCAAAGCAUCUGGGUUCCGGGGGGAGUAUGGUCGCAAGGCUGAAACUUAAAGGAAUUGACGGAAGGGCACCACCAGCCGUGGAGC